UUUAUGGUUGCAAAUUUAUUGUUUUAAUAUAAUAAACUCCAUUGGAAAUUUACCAAUAGUUUGUUUAUUUUUAGCUAUGACUAUGAUGUCAUUUUCUAUUUAAUUUUAAGGUUACAAAGUAAUUUCAGUUUUAAAUAUUAUUGUAAAAUGUUUGCCCAAAACAUUUAUUAAUAAGUGGCCAAAAAAGGGGGCAAAAAUAAGCAUUUUUUUAGUUUCCAGACAUUAACUUGUGUUCAAGUGUAUGGAUUUCUCUGAAAUUGUACUUAAAGGUACCAUACCACAAAGGGAAGUGGGUCAAAAAAUUUGGGGGGGGGGGGGAUUUUUUUUCCUUUUUUUUUUCUUUAAAAUUUUCCAUUUUAAGUUGGUUAAUUCUGAUCACAAAGAGAAAGUUGGAAUUGAGUUUGGGGGAUAAUUGCUCAAAUGUUUAGGAAUAAGGGGCUAAAAAAGGGGUUAAAAAUAAGCAUUUUUUUUUUAGUUUCUAACAAUUAAUUGUGUUUAAGUAAUUGGAUCUCUGUGAAAUUGUACUGCAAGGUACCAUACCACAAACUGAAGGCUGGGAUUGAGUUUGGGGGGGGCGUGAUGUGUGAAAAUUUUCCACUUAAAGUUGGUUAAUUAUUUCUGAUUUAGAUAUAAAAGCAAAUAAUAAUGAUGUGGUUUGAUUUUAUCAAAAACUUAAAUUGAAGUUAUGUAUAUUGUAAAUUUAGGUUACAUUGGAAUUUAAGAAUUGGCUUUGGGGUAGGGUUAUGGCUCAAACCUUUAAAUAAUAAGGGAAAAAAAGGUGAAAAAACAAGGGUUUCCAGGUUAAUAGACAAAUAAGUACAAAACAUUAUUUAAAAGCAGUGUAAGGUUGGUAAUUCAAACUCAUUUAAAUAUCUCACUUACACUGCUUUUAAAUUAUGUAAAUUGGAAAUUUGCCAAUAACUUUAUUGUUAAUAAAUGCAUUGGAAAUUUGCCAACAAUUUUAGUAUAAUAAACUUCAUUGGAAAUUUGCCAAUAUAAAAUUUUGCUGAUGAAGGUUUUUUGUUUACCUUUAGCCUUGACUAUGAAGUCAUUUUCUAUUUUUAUAGCCUUAUGAUGUAGUUGAAUUAUUUAAUACUUUUAUGAUGUGUUUAAAUGGGGUUUUAUGGUUGCAAAUUUAUUGUUUUAGUUUAAUAAACUCCAUUUAAAAUUUGGUAAUAAAAAAAAAUUUUGUUUAUUUUUAUACGACCGCAAAAAUUGAAAAUUUUUUGGUCGUAUAUUGGUAUGACGUUGUCGUCGUCGUCGUCGUCGUCGUCGUCGUCGUCGUCUGGCGUCGUCCGGCGUCGUCCGAAGACACAUUGGUUUUCGCACUCUAACUUUAGUUUAAGUGAAUGGAUCUCCAUGAAAUUUUACCAUAAGGUUCAAUACCACGAAAGGAAGGUUGGGAUUGAUUUUGGGGGUUAUGGUACCAACAGUUAAGGAAUUAGGGGCCAAAAAGGGGCCAAAAAUAAGCAUUUUUGUAACUUCCAGACAAUAACUUGUGUGUAAGUGUAUGGAUCUCUCUGACAUUGUACCACAAGGUUCCAUAUCACAAAGGGAAGGCUGUAAUUGAUUUUGGGGGUAAUUGCCUCAAAAUUUUAGGAAUUAGGGGCCAAAAAAGGGCAAAAAACAAGGAUUUUUCUAGUUUCAUGACAAUAACUUGUGUGUAAGUGUUUGGAUAUUUCUGAAAUUGUACUACAAGGUUCCAUAUCACAAAGGGAAAGCUGGAAUUGAGUUUGUGGGUAAUUGCCCGAAACGUUUAGGAAUAGGGGGCCAAAAAGGGGCCAAAAAUAAGCAUUUUUCUAGUUUCCAGACAAUAACUUGUGUUCAAGUGUAUGGAUCUCUCUGAAAUUGUACUGCAAGGUACCAUACCACAAAGGGAAGGCUGGGAUUGAGUUUGGGGGUGAUGAAUCAUAAGGGGGUUCAAAAAAUUUGGGGGGGGGGAUUUUUUUUUUUUCUUUUUUUUUCUUUUUUUCCUUUUUUUUUUUCUUUUAAAAUUUUCCAUUUUAAGUUGGUUAUUUCUGAUUAAUAUUUAAAAGCAAAUAAUAAUGAUAUGGUAGGAGAUACACACCAAACAGGAUGUGUAAAUUAUUAUAUAAUAAGUAUUGUGCAAUAGCAAGAAAUUUUCAAUUGCACAGUAUUGCAUAAUUGCAAGAAAUCUUCAAUUGCACAGUAUUGCGCAAUAGCAAGAAAUCUUCAAUUGCACAGUAUUGCGCAAUAGCAAGAAAUAUCCAAUAGCACAAUAUUGCGCAAUAGCAAGAAAUUGUCAAUUGUACAGUAUUGCACAAUAGCAAGAAAUAUUCAAUUGCACAGUAUUGUGCAAAAGAAGAUACUUUGUAUAAAUUGCUUAUUUCUUGAUCAAUUUCAAUGGGGUUUUAUUCUUGAAUUCUUGGGAUUCUUUAAUAUGCUGAAUCUAACCAAGUAUUAAGUUUUUGGAUUUUGGGUCCCGUUUUUAAAUUGGUCCACAUUGAGGUCCAAAGGGUCCAAAAUUUAACUUUGUUUGAUUUCAUCAAAAAUUGAAUUAUUGGGGUUCUUUGAUAUGCCGAAUCUAACCGUGUACUUAGAUUCUUAGUUUUUGGUUCCGUUUUCAAAUUGGUCUACAUUAAGGUCAAAAGGGUCCAAAAUUAAACUUAGUUUGAUUUUAAUAAAAAUUGAAUUUUUAGGGUUCUUUGAUAUGCUAAAUCUAAACAUGUAUUUAGAUUUUUGAUUAUGGGCCCAGUUUUCAAGUUGGUCCAAAUCGGGGUCCAAAAUUAAACUUUGUUUGAUUUCAACAAAAAUUGAAUAUAUGGGGUUCUUUGAUAUGCUGAAUCUAACCAUGUAUUUAGAUUUUUGAUUUUUGGGCCCCGUUAUCAACUUUGUCCACAUUGAGGUCCAAAGGGUCCAAAAUUAAACUUAGUUUGAUUUUAACAAAAAUUGAAUUCUUGGGGUUCUUUGAUAUGCUGAAUCUAAACAUGUGUUUAGAUUUUUGAUUAUGGGCCCAGUUUUCAAGUUGGUCCAAGUUGGGGUCCAAAAUUAAACUUUGUUUGAUUUCAACAAAAAUUGAAUAUAUGGGGUUCUUUGAUAUGCUGAAUCUAAACAUGUAUUUAGAUUUUAGAUUUUUGGCCCAGUUUUCAAGUUGGUCCAAAUUGGGGUCCAAAAUUAAACUUUGUUUGAUUUCAACAAAAAUUGAAUAUAUGGGGUUCUUUGAUAUGCUGAAUCUUACCAUGUAUUUAGAUUUUUUAUUUGUGGGCCCGCUAUCAAAUUGGUUCAUAUUGAGGUCAAAGGGUCCAAAAUUAAACUUUGUUUGAUUUCAUCAAAAAUUUAAUUAUUGGGGUUCUUUGAUAUGCCAAAUCUAACCGUGUAUUUAGAUUUUUAAUUUUGGGUCCCGUUUUUUAAAUUGGUCUACAUUAAGGUCUAAAGGGUCCAAAAUUAAAUUUAGUUUGAUUUUAACAAAAAUUGAAUUUUGGGGGUUCUUUGAUAUGCUGAAUCUAAACAUGUGUUUAGAUUUUUGAUUAUGGGCCCAGUUUUCAAGUUGGUCCAAGUUGGGGUCCAAAAUUAAACUUUGUUUGAUUUCAACAAAAAUUGAAUAUAUGGGGUUCUUUGAUAUGCUGAAUCUAAACAUGUAUUUAGAUUUUAGAUUUUUGGCCCAGUUUUCAAGUUGGUCCAAAUUGGGGUCCAAAAUUAAACUUUGUUUGAUUUCAACAAAAAUUGAAUAUAUGGGGUUCUUUGAUAUGCUGAAUCUAACCAUGUAUUUAGAUUUUUUAUUUUGUGGGCCCGCUAUCAAAUUGGUUCAUAUUGAGGUCAAAAGGGUCCAAAAUUAAACUUUGUUUGAUUUCAUCAAAAAUUGAAUUAUUGGGGUUCUUUGAUAUGCCAAAUCUAACCGUGUUUUUAGAUUUUUAAUUUUGGGUCCUGUUUUUUAAAUUGGUCUACAUUAAGGUCCAAAGGGUCCAAAAUUAAACUUAGUUUGAUUUUAACAAAAAUUGAAUUCUUGGGGUACUUUGAUAUGCUGAAUCUAAACAUGCAUUUAGAUUUUUGAUUUUUGGUCCCCGUUAUCAACUUUGUCCACAUUGAGGUCAUAAGGGUCCAAAAUUAAACUUUGUUUGAUUUCAUCAAAAAUUGAAUUCUUGAGGUUCUUUGAUAUGCUGAAUCUAACCAUGUAUUUAGAUUUUGGAUAUUGGACCAUAAUAGGUGAAUGUCCAAUUUAAAAUUUUUAAGUUCUUAGACCACAUUCAUUCUGUGUCAGAAACCUAUGCUGUGUCAAAUAUUUAAUCACAAUCCAAAUUCAGAGCUGUAUCAAGCUUGAAUAUUGUGUCCAUACUUGCCCCAACUGUUCAGGGUUCGACCUCUGCGGUCGUAUCAAGCUGCGCCCUGCGGAGCAUUUUAUUAGCUAUGAUUAUGAUGUCAUUUUCUAUUUUACUUUUAUGGUUGCAAAGAAAUUUUUAUUUUUAGAUAUUACUGUUAAAUGAUGCUGAUUAAGGUUUUUGCUAUGUUUAGCCAUGACUAUGAUGUCAUUUUCUAUUUUAAUAUCUGUCAUGAUGUAUUUAAAUGGGCUUUUAUGGUUACAAAGGAAUUUUAUUUUUAGAUAUUACUGUAAAAUGUUGCUGAUUAAGGAUUUUGUUUAUUUUUAGCCAUGACUAUGAUGUCAUUUUCUAUUUUAAUACCUUUAUUAUGUAAUUUCCAUUUUUAUACGACCGCAAAAAUUGAAAAUUUUUUGGUCGUAUAUUGGUAUGACGUUGGCGUCGUCGUCGUCGUCGUCGUCGUCGUCGUCGUCGUCGUCGUCGUCGUCUGGCGUCGUCCGGCGUCGUCCGAAGACACAUUGGUUUUCGCACUCUAACUUUAGUUUAAGUGAAUGGAUCUCCAUGAAAUUUUACCAUAAGGUUCAAUACCACGAAAGGAAGGUGGGGAUUGAUUUUGGGGGUUAUGGUACCAACAGUUAAGGAAUAAGGGGCCAAAAAGGGGCCGAAAAUAAGCAUUUUUAUACGACCGCAAAAAAAUUUUGUGGUCGUAUAUUGGUAUGACGUUGGCGUCGUCGUCCGAAUACACAUUGGUUUUCGCACUCUAACUUUAGUUUAAGUGAAUGGAUCUCUAUGAAAUUUUACCAUAAGGUUCAAUACCACAAAAGGAAGGUGGGGAUUGAUUUUGGGGGUUAUGGUACCAACAGUUAAGGAAUUAGGGGCCAAAAAGGGGCCAAAAAUAAGCAUUUUUGUAACUUCCAGACAUAACUUGUGUGUUAGUGUAUGGAUCUCUCUGACAUUGUACCACAAUGUUCCAUAUCACAAAGGGAAUGCUGGGAUUGAUUUUGGGGGUAAUUGCCUCUAAAUUUUAGGAAUUAGGGGCCAAAAAGGGGAAAAAAACAAGCAUUUUUCUAGUUUCAUGACAAUAACUUUUGUGUAAGUGUAUGGAUCUCUCUGACAUUGUACCAUAAGGUUCCAUAUCACAAAGGGAAUGCUGGGAUUGAUUUUGGGGGUAAUUGCCUCCAAAUUUUAGGAAUUAGGGGCCAAAAGGGGCAAAAAACAAGCAUUUUUCUAGUUUCAUUACAGUAACUUGUGUGUAAGUGUAUGGAUCUUUAUGAAAUUGUACAACAAGGUUCCAUAUCACAAAGGGAAAACUGGAAGUGAUUUUGGGGGUAAUUGCCCACAACGUUUAGGAAUAAGAGGCCAAAAAGGGGCAAAAAAUAAGCAUUUUUCUAGUUUCCAGACAAUAACUUGUGUGUAAGUGUAUGGAUCUUUAUGAAAUUGUACUGCAAGGUUCCAUAUCACAAAGGGAAAGCUGGGUUUGAGUUUGGGGGUAAUUGCCCCAAAUGUUUAGGAAUUUGGGGCCAAAAAACAAGCAUUUUUCUUGUUUCCAGACAAUAACUUGUGUUCAAGUGUAUGGAUCUCUCUGAAAUUGUACAGUUCAUACAUGUGAACCUCCCGACGGGAGUACAAUAAUACCGUUUUCAGGGGUCUCCUCCCGACCUCCAGUUGAAGACAAACAAAUCCUGUGUAUGAAAUAUUUCAUGAAUGAAAAAUUUCAGCCCAACAUAUCUGGUGUAACUGACAUUACUGAAGUUAUAUUUUACCUGUAAAUCAAUUAAAAUGCAUAAUUAUAUGGCCUCACUUGUCACCUUGGGUGUCAAACAUACUGGUAAUAAACGAUUUUUACCUCAGGCUAACUGCCGUUGUGUAAUAAAACUUUGUUUAUUUAAAAUGAAUGUUAGGUUACUUCCCUUGAUUUAUCCUGUUUUAAGUUAUUUUCCUUUAAAUAAUGUAAAUUUUUAAAAGAAUAUAAAUAAAAUAUAAAUUGAACAAAUAAUCAUAAAAGGAUGGAAAUUAAAUGAUUUUAAAUGUUUUAGGACAAAUAAAAAAAUAAUAAUUUGAAAAUUAUUUGAGGAUUCUAUACUUCCUUUAAAGGCUUAAAUUGAAAUUUAUAUAAUAACUAUGACCCAUGGUUACUGUUUGAAUGUGUUAC